GUGAAAUCAAAAUCUGAGCCAAUAUCAAGAGACGCUUAACUGAUGGAGCCACCCAGGUGCCCCCAGAAAUGUUCUUGAGGAGCAGAAAAGCCAAGAUUAUAGGAUAUCAAGAUGGGAUUGUGGCUGAGCUGGAAGAGAAAAGAACAUCACCAAUAGACAAAAACUGAGAGUAAUAGGGCUUUAGUUGUUAAGCCCCUCUUUUGGGCAGAGGAAGCAUCCAAAUCCAAGAGCCCUAUGAACCUGGUGGUAAAGCAGAUCUGCUCUGCUUCUUUUUGCCCAAAGUACUACCAACAUGCAGUGGGAACCCUUCAGGCUGGCGUCUGAGUCCUUUUGGCAGAUCUCCAUCUUUAUUUGAGCAUUUCCCUUCCAACGCAAAGAGAUAUUCCAGACUCACCUCAUACUUUCCCUCCUCAGGAUUGGAACCAGCUAAUUACUCAAGGAAUCAAGAUCUGAGUGCAAAGAAACAGGGACCAAAGAAACAUGUUAAAUGACACCAUGCAGAUUGGAUGCAACUAACCAGGUUUAGAAUGUGGAAAAGAUGACAAGGCAAAGACCAGUUUCUUCAAUAAACCAAUUGCAAAGAAAACAGAAAGUGGAGGCAAUAUAGAUUAACAGAGAUUUAAGAGACAUACCAAAACAAUUCUUUGCUAUUUCUUCCAUUGAGGGUUGGAUUCUAAUUUCCCUCCCCUUGAAUUUGAUCUGGCCUUAGUGACUUGCUCGAUCAACAGGAUGUAGUGAAAAUGACAUUCUGGGAAUUCUGGGGCUAGUUUGUAAGAAGCCUGGGAGGUGCCACAUGAGGCCACUUGCAGCACUGUCUCUGGGAUACCUGAGCCUAAGAAGUCUGAGUACUCUUAGACCAGUAUGUUGGAGAGGCCAGCAUUGUAGGCACAGGUGCAGUCAUGUGAAUGAUGCCAUCUUGGAUCCUCCACACCAGCUAUAGUCGAUGUGGAGUGGACCAGAAGGAUGACUCAGCCAAGCAUUGCUCAAUUAGUAAUCCAUAAUACUGUGAGAUAUAAUAAAAUGUUUGUUUUUAGCUACUCAGUUUUGGAGUAGUUUGCUAUACAACUAUAGACAAACAGAAUAACAUCUAAUAUUUUAAGAUGGAAAUUAAGAUCUGGUGUUAGUAGAAUGUGGUUUGCAGGAGGAAAGGAUGACAAAAAAACCAAAAACAAACCAAGAGAUAUGUUUUUGGGCAUGUUCAAUUUGUGAGGUAAUGUUAUUUCAUGAUGAAAAUGAUAAUAAAUUGU